GAUGAAGAACGUAGCGAAAUGCGAUACUUGGUGUGAAUUGCAGAAUCCCGUGAACCAUCGAGUCUUUGAACGCAAGUUGCGCCCGGAGCCACUAGGCCGAGGGCACGCCUGCCUGGGCGUCACACGCCGUUGCCCCCCCAUCUACUCCUUCGGGAUUGCGGGGGGGCGGAUGAUGGCCUCCCGUGCGCCUAGCCGCGCGGUUGGCAUAAAUACCAAGUCCUCGGCGACGCACGCCACGACAAUCGGUGGUUGCGAAACCUCGGUUGCCCGUCGUGUGCGUUCGUCGCGCAUCGAGGGCUCGAAAAAAUGCUCGGCUCCGGCUGGGCUUUCAACGCGACCCCAGGUCAGGAGGGGUUACCCGCUGAAUUUAAGCAUAUCAAUAAGCGGAGGA
rnacentral:misc_RNA from 1 species